rnacentral:misc_RNA from 1 species
UAGUCCCACUUUUCUGUCAGUCUCUGCUGGAGAUGGGCACAAAGGAUUUAGACUUUGUGCAGUUGAACCAGUUAAUUGGAAGGAAAACUGGAGGGCUAUCAGUCUAUCCUUUCACCUCAUCCGUGCAUGGCAAGGUGGAGCCAUGUAGCAAGAUAAUAGUUCGAGGCAAAGCCAUGUCACAACGUACAGAAGAUUUAUUUUACUUGAUCAACCGCGUUCUUCAAGAUGUCCAGCUUGAUGACCAAAAGCGUUUCAAGCAGUUCGUUUCUCAAAGCAGAUCGAGAAUGGAGAAUCGUCUAAGAGGCAGUGGUCAUAGCGUUGCUGCUGCAAGGAUGGGUGCUAAGCUUAACGUUGCAGGGUGGAUAUCUGAACAAAUGGGUGGUGUUAGCUACUUGGAAUUUCUGAAGGUUCUUGAAGACCAAGUUGAGAAGGAUUGGUCCCAAAUAUCAUCAUCCCUUGAGGAGAUCCGAAAAUCUUUACUUUCCAAGAAUGGGUGUCUGAUAAAUUUGACAGCUGAUGGGAAGAAUCUCAACAACGCGGAGAAACAUAUUAGCAAAUUUCUUGAUUUGCUUCCAAGCACAUCUCUAGUGGAGCCAGCUGCUUGGAAUGCACAGUUGUCUCGCUCAAAUGAAGCUUUUGUUGUUCCUACUCAGGUGAAUUAUGUUGGAAAAGCAGCUAAUCUGUAUGAAGCUGGUUAUGAGCUUAAAGGCAGUGCUUAUGUUAUUUCUAAUUAUACAAGUAAUACAUGGCUCUGGGAUCGUGUACGUGUUAGUGGUGGAGCUUAUGGAGGAUUUUGUAGUUUUGACUCCCAUUCAGGGGUAUUCUCAUUUUUAUCCUACCGAGACCCAAAUUUAUUGAAGACACUUGAUGUGUAUGACGGAACCAGUAGUUUCCUUAAAGAACUUGAAAUGGAUAAUGAUGCACUCACAAAGGCAAUUAUUGGGACUAUUGGAGAUGUAGAUUCUUACCAGUUGCCUGAUGCCAAAGGGUACAGUAGUUUAUUAAGAUAUUUACUGGGAGUAACAGAUGAAGAAAGACAAAGGAGACGUGAGGAGAUAUUAUCAACAAGUCUGGAAGAUUUCAGGAAAUUUGGAGACGUCAUGGAGGCAGUUAAAGAUAAAGGGGUGGUUGUUGCUGUAGCAUCACCAGAUGAUGUUGAGGCAGCCAACAAGGAGCGUUCUAACUUCUUGGAAGUCAAGAAAGCACUCUGAUUCUGAUCAAGUCUUUCUUGGAAAAUGCUUGUAUGCAUUAUUUGCUGUUAGAAUCCUCAAUCCCGUAUUAAACAAAAGGAAGCCAAGAAGGGGAAAAAAAGACUAGAGAAUCAGGAAGAAUACCAAUUCUUUUUUCUUGAGAACAUAGUAGCUUUACAGAAGCUUUGUAAGGCAAAAAAAAAUCAGUUUUUAAGUUUAAGAAAAAAGUCUCAAGAUUACAGUUUUUUAACCGAUCAAUUUAUCUGCUUUUAAGUUUAAGAAAAAAGUCUCAAGAUUACAGUUUUUUAACCGAUCAAUUUAUCUGC